AGAUGCCUGCGGUGUUGGUGAACUUCGAGUUUAAUUCGAACCGAACACCAAUUCACUUGGGAGCCUUAGAUUGUGCAGACGACAGCAGGCCCGGUUUCAUCCGGGAAGCUGAAAGCUGCACUGCGGGCACCCACCUGCCUUAGGCGGGUUCGUGAAAUCUGGAAGAUAACCGCACAUGCGGGCACUCU
rnacentral:other from 1 species